UACGUAGGGGGCGAGCGUUGUCCGGAUUUAUUGGGCGUAAAGAGCGUGUAGGCGGCCAGGUAGGUCUGCUGUGAAAACUCGAGGCUCAACCUCGAGACGUCGGCGGAAACCAUCUGGCUAGAGUCCGGAAGAGGAGAGUGGAAUUCCUGGUGUAGCGGUGAAAUGCGCAGAUAUCAGGAAGAACACCCGUGGCGAAGGCGGCUCUCUGGGACGGUACUGACGCUGAGGCGCGAAAGCGUGGGGGAGCGAACAGG
rnacentral:rRNA from 1 species